AGCGAACGCUGGCGGCAGGCCUAACACAUGCAAGUCGAACGAAGUCUUCGGACUUAGUGGCGGACGGGUGAGUAACACGUGGGAACGUGCCUUUAGGUUCGGAAUAACUCAGGGAAACUUGUGCUAAUACCGAAUGUGCCCUUCGGGGGAAAGAUUUAUCGCCUUUAGAGCGGCCCGCGUCUGAUUAGCUAGUUGGUGAGGUAAAGGCUCACCAAGGCGACGAUCAGUAGCUGGUCUGAGAGGAUGAUCAGCCACAUUGGGACUGAGACACGGCCCAAACUCCUACGGGAGGCAGCAGUGGGGAAUCUUGCGCAAUGGGCGAAAGCCUGACGCAGCCAUGCCGCGUGAAUGAUGAAGGUCUUAGGAUUGUAAAAUUCUUUCACCGAGGACGAGAAUGACGGUACCCGGAGAAGAAGCCCCGGCUAACUUCGUGCCAGCCGCCGCCGUAACAC
rnacentral:rRNA from 1 species